rnacentral:rRNA from 1 species
UGCAAGUCGAACGGACCCUUUGGGGUUAGUGGCGAACGGGUGAGUAACACGUGGGUGAUCUGCCCUGCACUUUGGGAUAAGCCUGGGAAACUGGGUCUAAUACCGGAUAGGACUACGCACUGCAUGGUGUGUGGUGGAAAGCUUUUGCGGUGUGGGAUGGGCCCGCGGCCUAUCAGCUUGUUGGUGGGGUGAUGGCCUACCAAGGCGACGACGGGUAGCCGGCCUGAGAGGGUGACCGGCCACACUGGGACUGAGAUACGGCCCAGACUCCUACGGGAGGCAGCAGUGGGGAAUAUUGCACAAUGGGCGCAAGCCUGAUGCAGCGACGCCGCGUGAGGGAUGACGGCCUUCGGGUUGUAAACCUCUUUCGCCAGGGACGAAGCGCAAGUGACGGUACCUGGAGAAGAAGGACCGGCCAACUACGUGCCAGCAGCCGCGGUAAUACGUAGGGUCCGAGCGUUGUCCGGAAUUACUGGGCGUAAAGAGCUCGUAGGUGGUUUGUCGCGUUGUUCGUGAAAACUCACAGCUUAACUGUGGGCGUGCGGGCGAUACGGGCAGACUGGAGUACUGCAGGGGAGACUGGAAUUCCUGGUGUAGCGGUGGAAUGCGCAAAUAUCAGGAGGAACACCGGUGGCGAAGGCGGGUCUCUGGGCAGUAACUGACGCUGAGGAGCGAAAGCGUGGGGAGCGAACAGGAUUAGAUACCCUGGUAGUCCACGCCGUAAACGGUGGGUACUAGGUGUGGGUUUCCUUCCUUGGGAUCCGUGCCGUAGCUAACGCAUUAAGUACCCCGCCUGGGGAGUACGGCCGCAAGGCUAAAACUCAAAGGAAUUGACGGGGGCCCGCACAAGCGGCGGAGCAUGUGGAUUAAUUCGAUGCAACGCGAAGAACCUUACCUGGGUUUGACAUGCACAGGACGCCGGCAGAGAUGUCGGUUCCCUUGUGGCCUGUGUGCAGGUGGUGCAUGGCUGUCGUCAGCUCGUGUCGUGAGAUGUUGGGUUAAGUCCCGCAACGAGCGCAACCCUUGUUUCAUGUUGCCAGCACGUUAUGGUGGGGACUCGUGAGAGACUGCCGGGGUCAACUCGGAGGAAGGUGGGGAUGACGUCAAGUCAUCAUGCCCCUUAUGUCCAGGGCUUCACACAUGCUACAAUGGCCGGUACAAAGGGCUGCGAUGCCGUGAGGUGGAGCGAAUCCUUUCAAAGCCGGUCUCAGUUCGGAUCGGGGUCUGCAACUCGACCCCGUGAAGUCGGAGUCGCUAGUAAUCGCAGAUCAGCAACGCUGCGGUGAAUACGUUCCCGGGCCUUGUACACACCGCCCGUCACGUCAUGAAAGUCGGUAACACCCGAAGCCGGUGGCCUAACCCUUGUGGAGGGAGCCGUCGAAGGUGGGAUCGGCGAUUGGGACGAAGUCG